UACGAAGGGUGCAAGCGUUACUCGGAAUUACUGGGCGUAAAGCGUGCGUAGGCGGUUUGUUAAGUCCGUUGUGAAAGCCCUGGGCUCAACCUGGGAAUUGCAGUGGAUACUGGCAAGCUAGAGUACGGUAGAGGAUGGUGGAAUUCCCGGUGUAGCGGUGAAAUGCGUAGAGAUCGGGAAGAACAUCGGUGGCGAAGGCGGUCUGCUGGGCCGUUGCUGACGCUGAGGCGCGACAGCGGUGGGGAGCAAACAGG
rnacentral:rRNA from 1 species